rnacentral:rRNA from 1 species
UACAGAGGUCUCAAGCGUUGUUCGGAUUCAUUGGGCGUAAAGGGUGCGUAGGCGGGUCUUUAAGUCAGGGGUGAAAUCCUGGAGCUCAACUCCAGAACUGCCUUUGAUACUGGAGAGCUUGAGUCCGGAAGAGGUGAGUGGAACUCCGAGUGUAGAGGUGAAAUUCGUAGAUAUUCGCAAGAACACCAGUGGCGAAGGCGGCUCACUGGCCCGGUACUGACGCUGAGGUGCGAAAGCGUGGGGAGCAGACAGG